AUACUUACAUAGCAAGGGAGAUACCAUGAUCAGGAAGGUGGUUUCCCCAGGGCGAGGCUUAUCCAUUUGCACUUCGGGUAUGCUGACCCAUGUGAUUUCCCCUAAAUGUGAGAAAUUCGACUGCAUAAUUUGUGGUAGUUGGGGACUGUGUUCAUGCUCUUCCCUG